ACUCAAAUGAAUUGACGGGGACCCGCACAAGCAGUGGAGCAUGUGGUUUAAUUCGAUGCUACGCGAAAAACCUUACCAACCUUUGAAUCCCGAUCACCGUUACAGAAAUGUAUCUUUGGAGCAAUCCAGAUCGGAGACAGGUGCUGCAUGGCUGUCGUCAGCUCGUGUCGUGAGAUGUUAGGUUAAGUCCUUUAACGAGCGCAACCCUCAUCCUUAUUUGCCAUCGGGUCAUGCCGGGAACUAUAAGGAAACUGCCGGCGACAAGCUGGAGGAAGGUGGGGAUGAUGUCAAGUCAUCAUGGCCUUUAUAGGUUGGGCUACACACAUGCUACAAUGGUGGUUACAGCAGGAAGCGAAAGAGCAAUCUGGAGCAAAUCCCAAAAAGCCAUCUCAGUUCGGAUUGGGGGCUGCAACUCGCCCCCAUGAAGUUGGAAUUGCUAGUAAUCGUGGAUCAGCACGCCACGGUGAAUACGUUCUCGGGUCUUGUACACACCGCCCGU
rnacentral:rRNA from 1 species